CAGCAUCCUCUGAUAGACCAUGAGCACUUCUGCUGUUGCUCUCUGGUUUGCACUUAGAUGCAAAAAUAACUUCCUUGCGCUUUCUGCCUGCCUGCCUGCCUGCCUGUGGCAGCUCAGAUUGAAUUGGGGAAUACACAG
rnacentral:snoRNA from 1 species